UCGAGCGAGCUUGCCUAGAUGAAUUUGGUGCUUGCACCAGAUGAAACUAGAUACAAGCGAGCGGCGGACGGGUGAGUAACACGUGGGUAACCUGCCCAAGAGACUGGGAUAACACCUGGAAACAGAUGCUAAUACCGGAUAACAACACUAGACGCAUGUCUAGAGUUUAAAAGAUGGUUCUGCUAUCACUCUUGGAUGGACCUGCGGUGCAUUAGCUAGUUGGUAAGGUAACGGCUUACCAAGGCAAUGAUGCAUAGCCGAGUUGAGAGACUGAUCGGCCACAUUGGGACUGAGACACGGCCCAAACUCCUACGGGAGGCAGCAGUAGGGAAUCUUCCACAAUGGACGCAAGUCUGAUGGAGCAACGCCGCGUGAGUGAAGAAGGGUUUCGGCUCGUAAAGCUCUGUUGGUAGUGAAGAAAGAUAGAGGUAGUAACUGGCCUUUAUUUGACGGUAAUUACUUAGAAAGUCACGGCUAACUACGUGCCAGCAGCCGCGGUAAUACGUAGGUGGCAAGCGUUGUCCGGAUUUAUUGGGCGUAAAGCGAGUGCAGGCGGUUCAAUAAGUCUGAUGUGAAAGCCUUCGGCUCAACCGGAGAAUUGCAUCAGAAACUGUUGAACUUGAGUGCAGAAGAGGAGAGUGGAACUCCAUGUGUAGCGGUGGAAUGCGUAGAUAUAUGGAAGAACACCAGUGGCGAAGGCGGCUCUCUGGUCUGCAACUGACGCUGAGGCUCGAAAGCAUGGGUAGCGAACAGGAUUAGAUACCCUGGUAGUCCAUGCCGUANACGAUGAGUGCUAAGUGUUGGGAGGUUUCCGCCUCUCAGUGCUGCAGCUAACGC
rnacentral:rRNA from 1 species